rnacentral:misc_RNA from 1 species
GGUUAAGGCGCUUUAAAUUCGUUCGUGUCAAAAUGUAAAGGAAGCAAAACGACGAAUUGGAAACCUGUGGGCGAGAAACGGAACAGGAAGGAGAAUUUCGAGGGUUUGCUGUGCAAAACGUACUGUUUGUCGCUCAGAAAUAAAAACUGCCACCAGUGAUGGAGUUGCAACGUUGCGGAAAGAAAAACGGCCGAUGUCUGUGCAAAGAGCAAAAAAAGAAACGGAGCAAGAAUCAAACCAGACCGAAAAUAGGUCCCGUGAAAAAUUGACCCUGGACGUUUUUCGUUUUCGCUGUGACGUAGAAGGAUACAUUACAAACGUGAAAUUUCCCCUGAAAUUCCAACGCAAUUUGAGAAGUCGAGUUACCAGCUCGUUCCCUUCCGUGUAGGAUGGUAAUUACAAGCAUUUCGAACGACGCAGAAUCGGAAAUCAGGUGAAAAUAAACGGAAAAUUCGGACAACUUUCGAUGGUUUCCGUGCAAAUUCCCAACAGAGGAACGAAUGUGUCUAAAAAUACGCGGAGAACGUGCAAUUUUGGCGGAGAAUCCCCGAUCGAGCAACAAUCCGCGGCUCGCAUUCGUUCCAAUUGGAAUCUAUGAUUAUUUAAUUCAAGAAAAUCAACAUCAUACGAUAUACACUACACGUAUCACAGUUUAAAUAAACUGCACCGCAUCUCAAUCUUGAAUUUAUAUUCACACUGCUGGAACGUGUGUAUCGUCAAGGUCUUACCCGGCAGGCCUGGAAAACUUCUGUUUUUCAAAUGAUUUCCAUGUCUGCAAGAAGAAAUCACAGACAAGCUAUGGAAUAAACUUGUCAUCUUAUUAACAUAAUCACCUAAGUCGAUGU